AGCAGGGGAGGGCUAAGAAUAUGCAUCUAGAGAAUGGAUUAAAUGUGACGGUUUAAGCAAACCAAUAUCCAGAGUGUCCAGUCCAGCAG